rnacentral:rRNA from 1 species
UACAGAGGGUGCAAACGUUGUUCGGAAUUACUGGGCGUAAAGCGUGUGUAGGCGGCCUCGUAGGUCGGAUGUGAAAGCUCUCGGCUCAACCGGGAAAGUGCAUUCGAAACCACAAGGCUUGAGUGUCGGAGAGGAGGGCGGAAUUGUCGGUGUAGAGGUGAAAUUCGUAGAUAUCGACAGGAACACCUGCGGCGAAAGCGGCCUUCUGGACGAACACGUGACGCUGAGACGACGAAAGCGAUGGG